rnacentral:lncRNA from 1 species
GGAGACAAUUCUUCUUUUACUCGAGUAGACAGCUACCUUGCUAGUGGACAAGUAAUGAGGCAGGAAUCCUUGCGCCAUGCUGCAGUGCCUUGUCAACCACUUGAUACUGAAAUUUACAAUGAAGUGUUCUACCGGGUUGACUCCACAGGAGCUAUUGUAACACUUAGUUCCAGUGUGUCCCUGAUUUACUUCUAUUGCUCUCGGCUACCUUCUGACGGGUUUGUCUUGAUUAGCUAAUUUGUAUUUACUUGUACCUGUAUUUCUUUUCCCACAUUUUCUUUUCUAUGCAGAUACUUUAAACCCUUUCCAAGAUGUAAUAUUGACAAGGAGUUGGGGAAAUGCACCUUAUAUUUCCCUAAAAGUUGCCCAUUACCCAGUGUUACUGUUAUUGGACAUGUCAAAACACUGAAACAACUUGCAUGCCUAGAAGCAUGCAAAACGUUGCAUAUAAUGGGAGCACUAUCGGACAAUCUUGUACCAGAUUUGGUGGAAGAAAAAGAUGAAGAAAUGGGUAAUCAAAAUCAAAUUUGUAGUUUAAUCGGAAUUGUGUCUACAUUUGUGUAUCUCUGUGAAAUCUUAUUCUGUUAUUAAUGGUCCAAUAUCAAAUUGUGCAGGUCAUCUGGAAUAUGUCGAUGAACAUGAUACUUAUGUUCCAUCGGAACUUGUGGGUCAAGGUUUACCCAAUGGUGCAAAAACAUAUUAUUGCUAUGUGCUACAGUUGGAGAGAAGUUUUAGCUAUGAUGUUACAAUGGAUCAUAUAAUACUUGCUGCUAGUAAUGAGCUUAAUUUUGAUGAAGACAACAUUACAUUUAUUUCUUAAUCUUCGUGCCCAACCCAUUUGUAAACAAAUGGGAGGGAUGGAGGGAGUAUAUUUUAUCAUGCACGACAGUUUUACUUAGUAUCGUUUCUGCAUGUUUAUUCACACAGGGGCUUAGAAGACUUGAGAUGUAUAGUCUUUGUACAGAGGGUUAUAACGGCGAAUGUACUUUGUCGCCUUUUGAAUGUUUUGCUUCCUAGCCUUAGUGGAUGGAAAACAGAAUAUAUGGCAGGCAGCAAUACUCGUCUUCAGUUACAGAGUAGGAAGGCCCAAAAUAAAAUUGUUGAAGAAUUUCGCAAGGGCACGGUAUUAAUAUGUGCUAUGUAUCUGUAGAUAUCCCACUUUUGGAAGAGCAAUAUAUUUUUUAACAAAUUGCAUACUGUUCUAUAACAAUAUGUGCAGGUUAACAUCAUUGUUGCAACAUCAAUUCUUGAAGAAGGGCUGGAUGUUCAGAGCUGCAAUCUGGUUGUACGGUUUGACCCAUCAGCUACAGUCUGCAGUUUUAUUCAGUCACGAGGUCGGGCUAGAAUGCAGAACUCAGAGUUUUUACUAUUGGUGGAAAGGUGAGUCGUAAUUUGUUUCCAUAUCAUUAAUCAUUAUCAUCUAUAAUAUCGUUACAUGCAAGGUGACGAGUUUCUGAACUUUGUCGUACAAAGUUUGUGGUUGCUCUGAAUAUUAUUCUCUUUUUGUGACAAAUGUAGUGGAGACAAUUCUUCUUUUACUCGAGUAGACAGCUACCUUGCUAGUGGACAAGUAAUGAGGCAGGAAUCCUUGCGCCAUGCUGCAGUGCCUUGUCAACCACUUGAUACUGAAAUUUACAAUGAAGUGUUCUACCGGGUUGACUCCACAGGAGCUAUUGUAACACUUAGUUCCAGUGUGUCCCUGAUUUACUUCUAUUGCUCUCGGCUACCUUCUGACGGGUUUGUCUUGAUUAGCUAAUUUGUAUUUACUUGUACCUGUAUUUCUUUUCCCACAUUUUCUUUUCUAUGCAGAUACUUUAAACCCUUUCCAAGAUGUAAUAUUGACAAGGAGUUGGGGAAAUGCACCUUAUAUUUCCCUAAAAGUUGCCCAUUACCCAGUGUUACUGUUAUUGGACAUGUCAAAACACUGAAACAACUUGCAUGCCUAGAAGCAUGCAAAACGUUGCAUAUAAUGGGAGCACUAUCGGACAAUCUUGUACCAGAUUUGGUGGAAGAAAAAGAUGAAGAAAUGGGUAAUCAAAAUCAAAUUUGUAGUUUAAUCGGAAUUGUGUCUACAUUUGUGUAUCUCUGUGAAAUCUUAUUCUGUUAUUAAUGGUCCAAUAUCAAAUUGUGCAGGUCAUCUGGAAUAUGUCGAUGAACAUGAUACUUAUGUUCCAUCGGAACUUGUGGGUCAAGGUUUACCCAAUGGUGCAAAAACAUAUUAUUGCUAUGUGCUACAGUUGGAGAGAAGUUUUAGCUAUGAUGUUACAAUGGAUCAUAUAAUACUUGCUGCUAGUAAUGAGCUUAAUUUUGAUGAAGACAACAUUACAUUUGAUUUGGAGGUUGAUAGGGGCAGUUUAACAGUUCACAUCAAAUAUGUUGGAACUAUAAGUCUCACUUCUAAAGAGGUAAUAAUUCUUAUUAUAUCUGUUUGACUACUCAUAAUAAAAAAACAUGGCAUUUUUUUGUUGAUCCUCAACAUUCUGUUGCUAGGUU